rnacentral:rRNA from 1 species
AUCAUUAAGUUGGGCACUCUAAUGGGACUGCCGGUGACAAACCGGAGGAAGGUGGGGAUGACGUCAAGUCCUCAUGGCCCUUAUGACCAGGGCUUCACACGUCAUACAAUGGUCGGUACAGAGGGUCGCGAAGCCGCGAGGUGUAGCCAAUCUCAUAAAACCGAUCGUAGUCCGGAUCGCACUCUGCAACUCGAGUGCGUGAAGUCGGAAUCGCUAGUAAUCGCACAUCAGCAUGCUGCGGUGAAUACGUU